rnacentral:tRNA from 1 species
GGAUGUAGCUUAGCCGGUUAAAGCGCCAGUUUGUGGCACUGGAGAUCGUGGGUUCGAAUCCCAUCUUC